AACGAACGCUGGCGGCAGGCUUAACACAUGCAAGUCGAACGCAUCCUUCGGGGUGAGUGGCAGACGGGUGAGUAACGCGUGGGAACGUGCCCUUCAGUUCGGGAUAACCCAGGGAAACUUGGGCUAAUACCGGAUACGUGCGAGAGCAGAAAGAUUUAUCGCUGAAGGAUCGGCCCGCGUCUGAUUAGCUAGUUGGUGGGGUAAUGGCCCACCAAGGCAACGAUCAGUAGCUGGUCUGAGAGGAUGAUCAGCCACAUUGGGACUGAGACACGGCCCAAACUCCUACGGGAGGCAGCAGUGGGGAAUACUGGACAAUGGGCGCAAGCCUGAUCCAGCCAUGCCGCGUGAGUGAUGAAGGCCUUAGGGUUGUAAAGCUCUUUCGUCCGGGACGAUAAUGACGGUACCGGAAGAAGAAGCCCCGGCUAACUUCGUGCCAGCCGCCGCGGUAA
rnacentral:rRNA from 1 species